AUGAAUUUAGCGGAGAAGAAGGAGGAGCUGCUGGCCAGAGUAGCGAUCCGAGAGGAAGACGCUGCUAGAAAAUUCAAGCGAUCAGAGGAAGAGAACUCGCGGAGGACUCACACGGUGGAGGCGGUCAUGUCUACUGGAAAGUGUGACGGACGGAGGGUGCUUCAGAAGUCAUGGCGGUUGGAGUUGGAGGGGACGGCGGAGUGUUCGCCGGAGUCAGAGGCGAGUGACUAG